rnacentral:rRNA from 2 species
UUCCGGUUGAUCCUGCCGGACCUGACUGCUAUCGGAUUGAUACUAAGCCAUGCGAGUCAUUGUAGCAAUACAAGGCAUACGGCUCAGUAACGCGUAGUCAACCUAACCUAUGGACGGGAAUAACCUCGGGAAACUGAGAAUAAUGCCCGAUAGAACAUUAUGCCUGGAAUGGUUUAUGUUCCAAAUGAUUUAUCGCCGUAGGAUGGGACUGCGGCCUAUCAGUUUGUUGGUGAGGUAAUGGCCCACCAAGACUAUUACAGGUACGGGCUCUGAGAGGAGUAGCCCGGAGAUGGGUACUGAGACACGGACCCAGGCCCUAUGGGGCGCAGCAGGCGAGAAAACUUUGCAAUGUGCGAAAGCACGACAAGGUUAAUCCGAGUGGUUUCUGCUAAAGGAACCUUUUGUCAGUCCUAGAAACACUGAUGAAUAAGGGGUGGGCAAGUUCUGGUGUCAGCCGCCGCGGUAAAACCAGCACCUCAAGUGGUCAGGAUGAUUAUUGGGCCUAAAGCAUCCGUAGCCGGCUCUGUAAGUUUUCGGUUAAAUCUGUACGCUCAACGUACAGGCUGCCGGGAAUACUGCAAAGCUAGGGAGUGGGAGAGGUAGACGGUACUCGGUAGGAAGGGGUAAAAUCCUUUGAUCUAUUGAUGACCACCUGUGGCGAAGGCGGUCUACCAGAACACGUCCGACGGUGAGGGAUGAAAGCUGGGGGAGCAAACCGGAUUAGAUACCCGGGUAGUCCCAGCUGUAAACCAUGCAAACUCAGUGAUGCAUUGGCUUGUGGGCCAAUGC